rnacentral:rRNA from 1 species
AGAGUUUGAUCAUGGCUCAGGACGAUCGCUGGCGGCGUGCUUAACACAUGCAAGUCGAACGGAAAGGCCCUUCGGGGUACUCGAGUGGCGAACGGGUGAGUAACACGUGGGUGAUCUGCCCUGCACUCUGGGAUAAGCCUGGGAAACUGGGUCUAAUACCGGAUAGGACCGCAUGCUUCAUGGUGUGUGGUGCAAAGCUUUUGCGGUGUGGGAUGAGCCCGCGGCCUAUCAGCUUGUUGGUGGGGUAAUGGCCUACCAAGGCGACGACGGGUAGCCGGCCUGAGAGGGUGACCGGCCACACUGGGACUGAGAUACGGCCCAGACUCCUACGGGAGGCAGCAGUGGGGAAUAUUGCACAAUGGGCGCAAGCCUGAUGCAGCGACGCCGCGUGAGGGAUGACGGCCUUCGGGUUGUAAACCUCUUUCAGUAGGGACGAAGCGAAAGUGACGGUACCUACAGAAGAAGGACCGGCCAACUACGUGCCAGCAGCCGCGGUAAUACGUAGGGUCCGAGCGUUGUCCGGAAUUACUGGGCGUAAAGAGCUCGUAGGUGGUUUGUCGCGUUGUUCGUGAAAACUCACAGCUUAACUGUGGGCGUGCGGGCGAUACGGGCAGACUAGAGUACUGCAGGGGAGACUGGAAUUCCUGGUGUAGCGGUGGAAUGCGCAGAUAUCAGGAGGAACACCGGUGGCGAAGGCGGGUCUCUGGGCAGUAACUGACGCUGAGGAGCGAAAGCGUGGGUAGCGAACAGGAUUAGAUACCCCGGUAGUCCAA